UGACAAGAGUGCAGUAAACCAUAUCAAUCAAAUGGAAAAGAAUUGAGCUAAGCGAACUUUAUUUGUCAGAUUCAGCUUUUAGUGAGUAGACCCAUAACUUUUUCUUUGGCAUGAAAAAGAUACAAUAAUAUAUUCCUACAUUCCAUGUCCUGUGCAAGGUCAUCACGCAUAGUUGUUUUUGUCCCUGUUGCUCAAGACUAAAUAGCAUUUAAUUUGUGGAGUUUUGCUUUGUAUUAUGGCUAAUGUGUAGGGGUAUUUAGGUGUUUCAAUAGCUUGCUUCCCAUAUUAUACAAAUCUG